UACGAAAGGUGCAAGCGUUACUCGGAAUCACUGGGCGUAAAGCGCACGUAGGCGGACUCGUAGGUCAAUUGUAAAUACCUGGGCUCAACCCGGGAACUGCAGUUGAAACCGCUUGUCUUGAAUACCUGAGAGGGUGGGGGAAUACCUGGUGGAGAAGUGAAAUUCGUAGAGAUCAGGUUGAACACCGGAGGCGAAGGCGCCUGCCUGGCAGUGUAUUGACGCUGAGGUGCGAAAGUGCGGGGAGCAAACAGG
rnacentral:rRNA from 1 species